GACGAACGCUGGCGGCGUGCUUAACACAUGCAAGUCGAACGAUGAACCCGGAGCUUGCUCCGGUGGAUUAGUGGCGAACGGGUGAGUAACACGUGAGUAACCUGCCCUUGACUCUGGGAUAACUGCGGGAAACUGUAGCUAAUACCGGAUACGACCCUCGGCGGCAUCGCCAGGGGGUGGAAAGAAUUUCGGUCAAGGAUGGACUCGCGGCCUAUCAGCUAGUUGGUUAGGUAACGGCUCACCAAGGCGACGACGGGUAGCCGGCCUGAGAGGGCGACCGGGCACCCUGGGACUGAGACACGGCCCAGCCUCCUACGGGAGGCAGCAGUGGGGAAUAUUGCGCAAGGGGCGAAAGCCUGACGCAGCAACGCCGCGUGCGGGAUGACGGCCUUCGGGUUGUAAACCGCUUUCAGCAGGGAAGAAGCCGCAAGGUGACGGUACCUGCAGAAGAAGCACCGGCUAACUACGUGCCAGCAGCCGCCGUAA
rnacentral:rRNA from 1 species